rnacentral:rRNA from 1 species
GUAGGAAAAACCGCAGGGCAAUCCGAAGGCGUGAUGCGGACCGAAAUCUAGUAGGGAAGUAUGUGAGCCAUGCGUCAAGAAAAGCCGCUAUUGUUCUUAUUGUACCCGUACCGUAAACCGACACAGGUGGAUGAGGAGAGAAUCCUAAGGCCGACGGAAGAAGCAUUGUUAAGGAACUCGGCAAAAUGACCCCGUAACUUCGGGAGAAGGGGUGCCACAGAAAUGUGGCCGCAGAGAAUAGGCUCAAGCAACUGUUUAGCAAAAACACAGGUCUAUGCAAAACCGAAAGGUGAGGUAUAUGGGCUGACGCCUGCCCGGUGCUGGAGGGUUAAGAGGAGAGGUUAGCGCAAGCGAAGCUUUGAAUUGAAGCCCCAGUAAACGGCGGCCGUAACGAUAACGGUCCUAAGGUAGCGAAAUUCCUUGUCGGGUAAGUUCCGACCCGCACGAAAGGCGUAAUGAUUUGAGCGCUGUCUCGACAAUGCAUCCGGUGAAAUUGAAGUACCAGUGAAGAUGCUGGUUACCUGCGCCAGGACGGAAAGACCCCAUGGAGCUUUACUCCAGCUUGAUACUGGGAUUCGGUAUUGCAUGUACAGGAUAGGUGGGAGGCUGAGAAUCGGUAACGCCAGUUGCCGAGGAGCCAUUGUUGGGAUACCACCCUUGCAGUACUGGGUUUCUAACCAGCAGCCGUGACCCGGCUGGGGGACAAUGUCAGGUGGGGAGUUUGACUGGGGCGGUCGCCUCCGAAAGGGUAUCGGAGGCGCUCAAAGGUUCCCUCAGAAUGGUUGGAAACCAUUCGAAGAGUGCAAAGGCAGAAGGGAGCUUGACUGCGACACCGACGGGUGGAGCAGGUACGAAAGUAGGACUUAGUGAUCCGGUGGUAUUAAGUGGGAAUGCCAUCGCUCAACGGAUAAAAGCUACCCUGGGAUAACAGGCUUAUCACUCCCAAGAGUUCACAUCGACGGAGUGGUUUGGCACCUCGAUGUCGGCUCAUCGCAUCCUGGGGCUGUAGUAGGUCCCAAGGGUUGGGCUGUUCGCCCAUUAAAGCGGUACGCGAGCUGGGUUCAGAACGUCGUGAGACAGUUCGGUCCCUAUCCGGCGUGGGCGUAGGAUAUCUGAGAGGAGCUGUCCUUAGUACGAGAGGACCGGGAUGGACGGACCGCUGGUGUACCUGUUGCAGUGCCAGCUGCAUGGCAGGGUAGCCAAGUCCGGAAGGGAUAAACGCUGAAGGCAUCUAAGCGUGAAGCCCCCCUCAAGAUGAGAUAUCCCAUUCGAAAGAAGUAAGACCCCUUGAAGACGACGAGGUAGAUAGGGCAGAGGUGGAAGUGCAGUAAUGUAUGGAGCUGACUGUUACUAAUCGGUCGAGGGUUUGACCG